UGUUUUUCUGCUCGUUGGUACCGAUGCGCAACGGCCCGAGAGUGAACACUCUUUUUACGACACGUAUAUAUUUCUUUUGCCGUCGGCCUUUUUUGAACUAUUGUGCGUGUCGUUUUACUCAGCAUUCAUAUUCGUCGCUCCGGCGCCCGUCAUUGAGUGUGUGCGUGAUCCGUCACCACAUCAUUCACCACCACAAUCAGGUGACUGAAUCGUCUCCAUCAACACGUGAUUCUAUCGACGGAAUCAAACGAACACCAGUAGUUAAUUAUGUUUCAUAAUUCGUCCGCGUCUUAUUGUGUCAACGAGUGUGUUGCAUUGACUGUGCGUUUUCGUGGGCUGCUAAUUGACACGUCGUUGCAUUGCACCCUCGUAAUUAUAGUCAGUCACUCUUUUUUUUUUAAAACUAAUACUUAUGGUUAAAAAUGAGCAAAGUGAAAUAUUUAUAAAAACAACAAUAAAAUAGUUAUUGAUUUAUGAAAAUUAAAAACACAUAGGAAGUUGGCUUCACGCGUAUAAGAAUGAUUCUUUCAACAACAAGAUCAAUUUAGAUCAAUAUUUUACAGGAUAUAAUUUAAUUGUCCUUAGUUUUUCCAUUUUACCAGCACCUCAUCACUAUACGGCAUAUUACAACAGUAAGUUCAACAGAAAUUCGUCAGCGGAGCGCAAUUAUUAUUCUGCGUAAAUACGAUACCUGCUGCAGACUUGACGCGGGUCGAUAUACAGCGAUAAUAUCGUGUCGUUCUACAUCAUGAACGAAUAGCGCGACAUCUGAUGUGAUUUGGGAAAGUUUGCAUUUUGGGAAAAACGAAAUAAAUACAGCGACGGCAUCUCACGGCUAUAGUCUACGAUUUCGUGUUUAUCGUUAUCCAUUAUCCAUCGAAGUACCAUCAUAAUCAAACAUCACGUUAUUAUUAUCAAAACCGAUGAAGAUGAACAUUUUAAUGGCAGAUGAAUUGCAUAUUAUUGCGCAAUUAUUCCAUGCCAGUACAAACUAGCGAUCUAAACGGGAUAUUAUCGCAAAACGGACGUAGACAUUUUAGAUCGGAAACACAAAGGGCGCGUACCUGCUGUGAUAUAAAUGAUGAUGUAUGACAUUCUAUUAUAGUGUCUCCUUCGUCAGAGCUCGGAACCGAGUCCACUCGGAAGAAAACAAUAACUGCGCUCCUGUUCUCGUCGUGACCAAAUGCCUGCAAAUAAAGUGUACAAUCAUAUUACAUUAUAAUAUAA